UACGAAGGGGGCUAGCGUUGCUCGGAAUCACUGGGCGUAAAGCGCACGUAGGCGGAUUGCUAAGUCAGGGGUGAAAUCCUGGAGCUCAACUCCAGAACUGCCUUUGAUACUGGCGAUCUUGAGUCCGGGAGAGGUGAGUGGAACUGCGAGUGUAGAGGUGAAAUUCGUAGAUAUUCGCAAGAACACCAGUGGCGAAGGCGGCUCACUGGCCCGGUACUGACACUGAGGAGCGAAAGCCAGGGGAGCAAACGGG
rnacentral:rRNA from 1 species